UUGAUGGAGAGCUUGCUCUCCUGAUGGUUAGCGGCGGACGGGUGAGUAACACGUAGGCAACCUGCCUGCAAGACCGGGAUAACCCACGGAAACGUGAGCUAAUACCGGAUAUCUCAUUUCCUCUCCUGAGGGGAUGAUGAAAGACGGAGCAAUCUGUCACUUGCGGAUGGGCCUGCGGCGCAUUAGCUAGUUGGUGAGGUAACGGCUCACCAAGGCGACGAUGCGUAGCCGACCUGAGAGGGUGAACGGCCACACUGGGACUGAGACACGGCCCAGACUCCUACGGGAGGCAGCAGUAGGGAAUCUUCCGCAAUGGGCGAAAGCCUGACGGAACAACGC
rnacentral:rRNA from 1 species